CUAAUCUUUUCUCUCCAGUGUGGACUACCAUGUGUGACCGUAAACUUCCUAUCCGUGUAAAAGAUUUCUUACAGACUGAGCAGCUGAAAGGUUUUUCUCCUGUGUGAGUUCUCAUGUGACUCUUCAGGUUUCCACUUUCGGUGAAAGCUUUAUCACACUCAGAGCAGCUGAAAGGCUUCUCUCCUGUGUGAGUUCUCAUGUGUAUGUUCAGAUGUGACUUAAAGCCAAAUGUUUUCCCACACGCAGAGCAGCUGAAUCGUUUCUUACAUGUUAAAUCAUGUUUCAGAGAGUUUAAAGCUGACUGAGGUUCUCUGGUCUCCUUCCAAUCAGCACUGUCAUCAGUCUCAGGUUCAGAAGAGUCUCCAGUCUGGUCUUCAGUCUCUGG